rnacentral:rRNA from 1 species
UACAGAGGUCUCAAGCGUUGUUCGGAUUUAUUGGGUUUAAAGGGUGCGUAGGCGGCCCUGUAAGUCAGCGGUGAAAUACGGCAGCUCAACUGUCGAGGUGCCGUUGAUACUGCGGGGCUUGAGUGUUGAUGAGGCAGGCGGAAUUGACGGUGUAGCGGUGAAAUGCUUAGAUAUCGUCAAGAACACCGAUAGCGAAGGCAGCCUGCCAAGCAACAACUGACGCUGAGGCACGAAAGUGCGGGGAUCAAACAGG